CUUAGCUGUCUUGCCCAUCAGGUCAUAAAACUGAGCUGUGAAUGACCCCAGCCAAUUCUAAGUCAUCUCUUUACUACUAAUGAUCCUCAGAACUUGUUAAUAUAAAUUAUUUCAGUAGGUAUGGGUGGCUCUGUUCUCCUGGAUGGCUUUUGUAAAACAUUGUGUAGAAGCAGUCAUUUAAUUUGUCCAAAUUAUUUCUCAAAUUACAAUUGAUUUCUCCAUCAAAUAACAAUUGUUGAGUUCUCCAAUCUCAUGGAGAAUUUAGAAAACACAAAGGCAAAUAAAAUUUUUUCCCUUCGAAUCCCAUCAUUCUUUAAAAUACUGUUUAAUUGGGGAGGGCCCCCUAACUGGAUCCCGAGCUGCUUUCCCAGGGAAUUCGGUCUCCCUGCCUAGUGCGCCGGCCCCACUACCGCGGGAUUGGAUCCCCCGCGCCUGCACCCGCCCCGCUGCGUCCUGGGGAGGAGCGGGAAUAAAUGACCGGCCCCGGCGGGAGCGCAGCCGGGUGAGCGCAGCCCCGAGACACGCGCGCAGGGCCCCCCUCCCCGGGCCCCCCGCCCUCCCAGCUUGCCGCCUCCAACGCGAAGCACAACGCGCCUCCGGGCUCGGGGACGGCGUCGCCGAGCAAUCCAGGCGGGCCGGCCUCGCCGGUGACAUAACACGAAAGAAUACUCCUGCUCUCAGCGCCGCCUUCGCCAAGCGGCCGUUCAUCCGUCCGUGCGCUGCCGUCCACUGCUGGAGCGGGUCCUAGCUGGCCAGGACACAGCUGGGCACUGUGGAGCGACAGGAACCGAGGAGCAGGCAGAGCGGAGGCAGCGAGGGAGGGAGGACCCCCGCGGACGACAGCAUGAAAUUGAGCCCCGCGCGCUGCUUGCUGUCCCUCCUGCCGGCGCUGGUCCUCAGUACCAGAUUCUCCUUUUUGGUAUUCUAAAGUCUGCCACUGAGCUUGGAAAAAUCUCAACUUAGGAAAAAGAUGCAGAUGAAAGAAAACAAGAGCACAUAUAUGGUGAAAAUAAUAAAACAUCUGAAAGGUGAAGCUUAGGAGAUGAUGGCUGUACAUUGACCCAGAAUAUAAGUGCCAAAGACACAUCAUCUACUUCAUGAUUUUGUCAACUAUUAGCUUUCCCUUCAUGCUUUUAAUAGAGCCCACAUAUAUGUUAUUAUAUAUAUAUAUAUAUAUAUAUAUACACAUAUAUAUAUUAUUCUGACUACAUGUAAUUCAGAAUAUAUAGUACUUUUGAAUGCAUGACACUCAAAAUUUGGUCUUCCCAUUAUCAUGUUUAGUAACACUUAGUUUCCUUAUGAGCACAUUGUCAAGCAGAUACUAUCUGUAUUCAACAAUUAACUGUACUCAAAUGAAUAAAAACUAAAACUUCCAUGUGGUUGAUAAUUUUCAGUUGAUUGAUAUCCAUAUUUACUUACAAGUAUGUUACAAUAAAAAAAAAUAAAGUAA